UACGAAGGGGGCUAGCGUUGCUCGGAAUGACUGGGCGUAAAGGGCGCGUAGGCGGUUUGUACAGUCAGGUGUGAAAUUCCCGGGCUCAACCUGGGGGCUGCACUUGAUACGUGUGGACUUGAGUGAGGAAGAGGGUCGUGGAAUUCCCAGUGUAGAGGUGAAAUUCGUAGAUAUUGGGAAGAACACCGGUGGCGAAGGCGGCGACCUGGUCCUUUUACUGACGCUGAGGCGCGAAAGCGUGGGGAGCAAACAGG
rnacentral:rRNA from 1 species